rnacentral:rRNA from 1 species
GUCCUAGCCGUAAACGAUGGGCACUGACCUGAGGUCUCCCUGUGGGAUCUCAGGUGUAGCAAAUGUGAUAAGUGCCCCGCCUGGGGAGUAUGGUCGCAAGGCUAAAACUCAAAGGAAUUGACGGGGGCUCACACAAGCGGUGGAGCAUGUGGUUCAAUUCGAUGCAACGCGAAGAACCUUACCCAGGCUUGACAUGCUGGGAUUACCUUGGUGAAAGCCAGGGGAUUACCUUCGGGUGUAACCAGCACAGGUGUUGCAUGGCUGUCGU